rnacentral:rRNA from 1 species
ACCUUCGGGUGCAGUUAAUGGGCGUCGAGCGGCGGACGGGUGAGUAAUGCCUAGGAAAUUGCCUUGAUGUGGGGGAUAACCAUUGGAAACGAUGGCUAAUACCGCAUAAUGCCUACGGGCCAAAGAGGGGGAUCUUCGGACCUCUCGCGUCAAGAUAUGCCUAGGUGGGAUUAGCUAGUUGGUGAGGUAAUGGCUCACCAAGGCGACGAUCCCUAGCUGGUCUGAGAGGAUGAUCAGCCACACUGGAACUGAGACACGGUCCAGACUCCUACGGGAGGCAGCAGUGGGGAAUAUUGCACAAUGGGCGAAAGCCUGAUGCAGCCAUGCCGCGUGUAUGAAGAAGGCCUUCGGGUUGUAAAGUACUUUCAGUUGUGAGGAAGGGGGUAACGUUAAUAGCGGUAUCUCUUGACGUUAGCAACAGAAGAAGCACCGGCUAACUCCGUGCCAGCAGCCGCGGUAAUACGGAGGGUGCGAGCGUUAAUCGGAAUUACUGGGCGUAAAGCGCAUGCAGGUGGUUCAUUAAGUCAGAUGUGAAAGCCCGGGGCUCAACCUCGGAACUGCAUUUGAAACUGGUGAACUAGAGUGCUGUAGAGGGGGGUA